AGUAGCGGCGAGUGAAGCGGCAAGAGCUCAGAUUUGAAAUCUCACCUAGUGUGCGAGUUGUAAAUUGCAGGUUGGAGUCUCGGGUUAGACGUGUGUGCAAGUCCCUUGGAACAGGGUGCCACUGAGGGUGAGAGCCCCGUAGCGUGCAUGUCGAUACCUGUGAGGCCCUUCUGACGAGUCGAGUUGUUUGGGAAUGCAGCUCUAAGUGGGUGGUAAAUUCCAUCUAAGGCUAAAUAUUGGCGAGAGACCGAUAGCGAACAAGUACUGUGAAGGAAAGAUGAAAAGCACUUUGAAAAGAGAGUGAAACAGCACGUGAAAUUGUUGAAAGGGAAGGGUAUUGGGCUCGACAUGGGAUUUACGCAUCGUUGCCUCUCGUGGGCGGCGCUCUGGGUUUUUCCUGGGCCAGCAUCGGUUUUCGUUGCAGGAUAAGGACAAUUGGAAUGUGGCUCCUCGGAGUGUUAUAGCCUUUUGUAGAUGCUGCGUAUGGGGACCGAGGGCUGCGGCGGACUCGUUU
rnacentral:rRNA from 1 species